AAAAGUACUGCGCUCUGGAUCCUAAUAAUAAGGUUGAUGCGUGCCAAGGGGAUUCCGGAGGACCGUUAACAGCUCAGGAGUUUACCACGGGUGUUCCAAAUCGUUAUUAUCUUGUGGGAGUAGUGUCAUUCGGCUACAGG